GGGGUCGUAGUAUAAGCUGGUUAGUAUGAGAGGCUCCAACCCUCUAGAUCCCGGUUCAAAUCCGGGCGACCUCA
rnacentral:tRNA from 1 species